UACAGAGGGUGCAAGCGUUAAUCGGAAUUACUGGGCGUAAAGCGUGCGUAGACGGUUACAUAAGUCGGAUGUGAAAGCCCCGGGCUCAACCUGGGAAUUGCAUUCGAGACUGUGUAGCUAGGAUGCGGAAGAGGGAAGCGGAAUUUCCGGUGUAGCGGUGAAAUGCGUAGAUAUCGGAAGGAACACCAGUGGCGAAAGCGGCUUCCUGGUCCAGCAUCGACGUUCAGGCACGAAAGCGUGGGGAGCAAACAGG
rnacentral:rRNA from 1 species